rnacentral:rRNA from 1 species
UACGUAGGGGGCGAGCGUUGUCCGAAGUUACUGGGCGUAAAGAGCGCGUAGGCGGGUCUUUAAGUGAGGGGUGAAAGGUUCGGGCUCAACCCGGACACUGCCUUUCAUACUGGAGACCUUGAGUGCGGGAGGGGCGAGUGGAAUGGUCGGUGUAGCGGUGAAAUGCUUAGAUAUGACAUAGAAUACCAAUUGCGAAGGCAGCUGGCUACGCGAAUAUUGACACUCAGGCACGAAAGCGUGGGGAUCAAACAGG